rnacentral:rRNA from 1 species
GACGUAGGGCGCGAGCGUUGUCCGGAAUUAUUGGCGUAAAGAGCUCGUAGGCGGCUUGUCGCGUCGGCUGUGAAAUCCCGUGGCUCAACUGCGGGUCUGCAGCCGAUACGGGCAGGCUAGAGUUCGGUAGGGGAGACUGGAAUUCCUGGUGUAGCGGUGAAAUGCGCAGAUAUCAGGAGGAACACCGAUGGCGAAGGCAGGUCUCUGGGCCGAUACUGACGCUGAGGAGCGAAAGCGUGGGAGCGAACAGG